GAUGAACGCUGGCGGCAUUCUUAACACAUGCAAGUCGGACGGGAAGUGGUGUUUCCAGUGGCGGCCGGGUGAGUAACGCGUAAGAACCUGCCCUUGUGAGGGGAACCACAGCUGGAUACGGCUGCUAAUACCCCGUACGCUCAGGAGCAAAAGGAGGAAUCCGCCCGAGGCGGGGCUCGCGUCUGGUUAGCUAGUUGGUGAGGCAAUAGCUUACCAAGGCGUUGAUCAGUAGCUGGUCCGAGGGGAUGAUCAGCCACACUGGGACUGAGACACGGCGCAGACUCCUAGGGAAGGCGGCAGGGGGGAGUGAGCCGCAACGGGCGAGCGGCUGACGGAGCGAGGCGGGGGGGGGGCAGAAGGCCUGCGGGGAGCGCACCUGUGAUGCGGGAAAAGAAGCUGUGACGGUAUCUGGUCAGAGAGGAAAGGAUACCUUCGAG
rnacentral:rRNA from 1 species